AGAGAAUAGAUACCCGGGUAGUCCACGCCGUAAACUAUGAAUGCUGGCUGUAAGAAGUAUCGACCCUUCUUGUAGCGAAAGCUAACGCGUUAAGCAUUCCGCCUGUGGAGUACGGCCGCAAGGCUAAAACAUAAAGGAAUUGACGGGGACCCGCACAAGCGGUGGAGCGUGUUGUUUAAUUCGAUGGUAAGCGAAGAACCUUACCCAGGCUUGACAUCCUGCUAAUUUCUCCGAAAGGAGAGAGUGCCUUCGGGCCGCAGUGACAGGUGUUGCAUGGCCGUCGUCAGCUCGUGUUGUGAAACGUUAGGUUAAGUCCUAUAACGAGCGCAACCCUUUUGUUUAGUUGUAUUUCUCUAAACAGACUGCCCUGGUAACAGGGAGGAAGGAGGGGUCGAAGUCAGGUCAGUAUUACCCUUACGUCUGGGGCUACAAACACGCUACAAUGGCCGGUACAAAGGGCUGCCAACCCGCGAGGGGAGCAAAUCCCAUCAAAGCCGGUCUCAGUUCGGAUUGUAGGCUGAAACUCGCCUGCAUGAAGCUGGAAUCGCUAGUAAUGGUA
rnacentral:rRNA from 1 species